UCAGAUGAACGCUGGCGGCAGGCUAACACAUGCAAGUCGAGCGGGAAAUGUAGCUUGCUACAUUACCUAGCGGCGGACGGGUGAGUAAUGCUUAGGAAUCUGCCUAUUAGUGGGGGACAACAUCUCGAAAGGGAUGCUAAUACCGCAUACGCCCUACGGGGGAAAGCAGGGGAUCUUCGGACCUUGCGCUAAUAGAUGAGCCUAAGUCGGAUUAGCUAGUUGGUGGGGUAAAGGCCUACCAAGGCGACGAUCUGUAGCGGGUCUGAGAGGAUGAUCCGCCACACUGGGACUGAGACACGGCCCAGACUCCUACGGGAGGCAGCAGUGGGGAAUAUUGGACAAUGGGGGGAACCCUGAUCCAGCCAUGCCGCGUGUGUGAAGAAAGGCCUUUUGGUUGUAAAGCACUUUAAGCGAGGAGGAGGCUACCGAGAUUAAUACUCUUGGAUAGUGGACGUUACUCGCAGAAUAAGCACCGGCUAACUCUGUGCCAGCAGCGGC
rnacentral:rRNA from 1 species